GUGCCAGCAGCCGCGGUAAUACGUAGGGUGCGAGCGUUAAUCGGAAUUACUAGGCGUAAAGCGUGCGCAGGCGGUUCUGUAAGACAGAGGUGAAAUCCCCGGGCUCAACCUGGGAACUGCCUUUGUGACUGCAAGGCUAGAGUACGGCAGAGGGGGAUGGAAUUCCGCGUGUAGCAGUGAAAUGCGUAGAUAUGCGGAGGAACACCGAUGGCGAAAGGCAAUCCCCUGGGCCUGUACUGACGCUCAUGCACGAAAGCGUGGGGAGCAAACAGGAUUAGAUACCCUGGUAGUCC
rnacentral:rRNA from 1 species